rnacentral:rRNA from 1 species
UAGUCCACACCGUAAACGAUGGAUGCUAGCCGUUGGGCAGUUUACUGUUCAGUGGCGCAGCUAACGCAUUAAGCAUCCCGCCUGGGGAGUACGGUCGCAAGAUUAAAACUCAAAGGAAUUGACGGGGGACCCGCACAAGCAGCGGAGCGUGUGGUUUAAUUCGAGGCUACGCGAAGAACCUUACCGGGGUUUGACAUAUGGGUAGUAGGGAGCCGAAAGGGGACCGACCUUCGGGAGCCCAUACAGGUGAUGCAUGGCUGUCGUCAGCUCGUGCCGUGAGGUGUCAGGUUAAGUCCUGUAACGAGCGCAACCCUUAUCUCAUGUUACAAGUGUCAUGCGAGACUGCCGGUUUUUGCCGGUAGGAAGGAGGGGAUGACGUCAAGUCAGCAUGUCCUUUAUAUCCCGGGGCUACACACACGCUACAAUGGCUAUGACAAUAGGUU